AGUCACGCGAUGAGCACAUAGCGAACUAUUCUUUCGCCUUUUACUAAAGAAUACCGUGUGCACGUGGCAUUGAGUGGCAUACGCCAAUUUUUGGAGAGGGGCUCUUACAGAGGACCU